ACCCCCCCAUCAUCAUCAUCAUCAUCCUCAUCAUCCUCAUCCUCCUCCCCGAGAGCCCUGCCCUGCGGGCUCCUGCAGCCCAGCUCUGCCCUGGGGCCUGGCAGAACGCUGCUCCUGGCUAUCCCAUCCCUGGAAAGGGCCCUGCCAUAAAACAUCUCCAGUUUAUCCCAUCUGCCCUAAAACAUCUCCUGGUUUAUCCCAUCUGCCCUAAAACAUCUCCAGUUUAUCCCAUCUGCCCUAAAACAUCUCCUGGUUUAUCCCAUCUGCCCUAAAACAUCUCCUGUUUAUCCCAUCUGCCCUAAAACAUCUCCAGUUUAUCCCAUCUGCCCUAAAACAUCUCCAGUUUAUCCCAUCUGCCCUAAAACAUCUCCAGUUUAUCCCAUCUGCCCUAAAACAUCUCCUGUUUAUCCCAUCUGCCCUAAAACAUCUCCAGUUUAUCCCAUCUGCCCUAAAACAUCUCCUGGUUAUCCCAUCUGCCCUAAAGCAUCUCCCAGUUUACCCCAUCCCAUGGAACAGGCCCUGCCCUAAAACAUCUCCCAGUUUACCCCAUCCCACAGCAGCCAGGAGUUUGGGAUGUGGCUUGCAGGGAUUUUGGGAAUGAGCUGCUCCCUGGCUCUCCCAGGGCUGUGCCCCCACCCCACCCUGGGGGUGUCUGGGGUCCUGUGACCCCCCAGCCCCUCAGCAGGCACAGCUGGGUUUGGAUCCUCCUGUGGGAUCCCAAAAACACCCAGAGCCCUCCAUAACCCUCAGCCUGCCCCUCACCAGGUUGUGGUCAGGAACUAACGAGUUCUAAUUAGCAGAGCUGACGAACUUUUGGGCUGCUCUGUGCCCUUCAUCCAUCCUCAGCUGGGAAUGUGCAGCGAUCCCUUCCCUGCCCCUGCAGCAGCAGCAGCAGCAGCACGUGGCCCCUCUCAGGAGGAGCUUGCAGUGGGGAGAAGCUCAGGAAAUGGGGACAAACAGCAGAAAAAAAUGACUUUUUUUUUUU